ensembl:lncRNA
AUGUGCUGGUAUUGAACAUGUUGUGGAUAUGUGGUGGUAUUGAACAUGUUGUGUUGUGGAUAUGUGGUGGUAUUGAACAUGUUGUGUUGUGGAUAUGUGAUGGUAUUGGACAUGUUGUGGUAUUGAACAUGUUGUGGAUAUGUGGUGGUAUUGAACAUGUUGUGGAUAUGUGGUGGUAUUGAACAUGUUGUGUUGUGGAUAUGUGGUAGUAUUGAACAUGUUGUGGAUAUGUGGUGGUAUUGAACAUGUUGUGGAUAUGUGGUGGUAUUGAACAUGUUGUGGAUGUGUUGUGGUAUUAAACAUGUUGUGUUGUGGAUAUGUGGUGGUAUUGAACAUGUUGUGAUGUGGAUAUGUGGGGGUAUUGAACAUGUUGUGGAUAUGUGGGGGUAUUGAACAUGUUGUGUUGUGGAUGUGUGGGUAUUGAACAUGUUGUGGAUAUGUGGUGGUAUUGAACAUGUUGUGGAUAUGUGGAGGUAUUGAACAUGUUGUGGAUAUGUGGUGGUAUUGAACAUGUUGUGUUGUUGAUAUGUGGUGGUAUUGAACAUGUUGUGUUGUGGAUAUGUGGAGGUAUUGAACAUGUUGUGGAUAUGUGGUGGUAUUGAACAUGUUGUGGGUAUGUGGUGGUAUUGAACAUGUUGUGGAUAUGUGGAAGUAUUGAACAUGUUGUGGAUGUGUUGUGGUAUUAAACAUGUUGUGUUGUGGAUAUGUGGAGGUAUUGAACAUGUUGUGGAUAUGUGGUGGUAUUGAACAUGUUGAGGUAUUGAACAUGUUGUGGAUAUGUGGUGUUAUUGAACAUGUGGAUAUGUGGUGGUAUUGAACACGUUGUGGAUAUGUGGUGAUAUUGAACAUGUUGUGGGUAUGUUGAGGUAUUGAACAUGUUGUGGAUAUGUGGUGGUAUUGAACAUGUGGAUAUGUGGUGGUAUUGAACAUGUUGUGGAUAUGUGGUGGUAUUGAACAUGUUGUGGAUAUGUGGUGGUAUUGAACAUGUUGUGGAUAUGUGGUGGUAUUGAACAUGUUGUGGAUAUGUGGUGGUAUUAAACAUGUUGUGCUGUGGAUAUGUGGUGGUAUUGAUUAGGUUGUGGAUAUGUGGUGGCAUUGAACAUGUUGUGGAUAUGUGGUGGUAUUGAACAUGUUGUGGUAUUGAACAUGUUGUGGAUAUGUGGUGGUAUUGAACAUGUGGAUAUGUGGUGGUAUUGAACAUGUUGUGGAUAUGUGGUGGUAUUGAACAUGUUGUGUUGUGGAUAUGUGCUGGUAUUGAACAUGUUGUGGAUAUGUGGUGGUAUUGAACAUGUUGUGGAUAUGUGGUGGUAUUAAACAUGUUGU